ensembl:lncRNA
CCCGGGCGUCUGCAUUUUGUUUUUAUAUUUUUCAUUUUAUUUUGUUUUAUAUUUACUGAUUUUUGUUUGUGAAUCUUUUCUUUAAGCAGAUCUGCACAUCGGAAAUUACAAGCAUUACACGUCGGCGAGAAAAUUGUUGUAAGUGAGUUUCUCCGCAUUGAAAUGGGUUCUGGAGGAAACACUUGUGGGGACAAUUAGAAACGAGAGUCCCUGUUUAAAAAAGGAUUCAGCGAGGUAAUCCAAACUCAAGUUCUUGUUUCUUUUUGAGAUGACGUCAUUUUGCUGAGUGUGGAAACUAGAUGCGACGACAGGUUUCACUAUCAGCAAAGAACGGAUGAAUGGAUGAAAGACUGGGAAUAAAAACAAACGGACUGACUGGUAAAAGAUGACAAGACUUGACCAUGACUCAAGGUUAACCACCUCCACCUAGAUAGGAUAAAAGGGUGGAUGAAUUUAUGUGGGUUUCUUUUACAGGAGUAGAAGGAUGACAAAAUAUUCGAGGAUGAGUGAACCUGUAAAUGCCAUUUUUGUGUCUUGUGUAGCUUACAGAGGUAACUGCGCAGCGUUACCAUUUACAUUUUCUUCCCUACAGGGUUACAGUUUUAAUGUUUUUCUAUUACAGGAUUUCUGGGCGGAUGUGUGAAGAAACGGUGUUUAUGGGUUAGGAGUUGGGGAUGCUAUUACACUGUAUUUACAGGAAAUGUUUUAUAGCACCUAUGGAAUGAGGAUGCCUGACUACGGUCAAUGUGCUGCUAAUGUUUGCUUUGCUUUGGUGAGAGGGGUGCAGUAGAAAACAGACAAGUGACAUGAAAACAAGUAAUAAUAACAAAUAACAAAUUUGGGGACAGUUUGACCUAGAGCCCACUAACUGGCCAUUAGGGGCUCUCUCUCUCUCUCUCUCUCUCUCUCUCUCUCUCUCUCUCUCUCUCUCUCUCUCUCUCUCUCUCUCUCUCUCUCUCUCAGAACACGCCCUUGGCGAGGUGGGGGGAACUGGACCACCUUUCUGUGCCCCAUCAUCCUCUAUUAGACGACAUCCAAGCUAAGUAAACAUGUCUUGGCCCUUUCCCCCUGAAAUGACAGGCAGGCAAAGAUGUUGCGUCUUUCUUUGCUUCCUGGCCCUGGGUCUCAUUCCCAUUGGCAUAAUCCUGAUCUGUGAAGGGCCCCCGACACUUCUGACACCUUCAAGUUCAAAAGCUUCGCCCCCUUCUGACAGUCCCAAUCUGACAAAUGUAGCCCCUAGGGUCUUGCCCACCACUUCCUCUCCAGUUUUACCAUAUUCACUUUUGAAUGUCCUUAGCAGUUACCGUUCUGAGUUUAUUUUACGGUUGAUUUAUUCUUUCACAUUUUCACGUUUAUAUCUCUCAUUAUUAUAGUAUACUCUGUACUCUCCACAUUUUUAUCAUUACUUAUGCUUUUUGGUUGCUGAGUUACAGGAACUGUUAAUUUUGUGUCACUACCCUGGUUGCACUAACUCGUUGUACCCUUGUGUGCAGGACAGCUGUUACUGCUUUCGUCGGGAACCGAGACUGCUUGCAGCCGACCCCUGGGCAGGGUGGUGCCUGGACUCUUUUCUCCUCAUCUGCAAUGACAGAUAAAGACAAAUGAAAAGACCCGAGGAGUUUUUCGAGCCAGGCUUCGACACGUCUCUGUGUUCCUUUGAAUGUUACUUAUUUUUGUGUGUUGACCCAUUUAAGAUGGGUCAAAAGGGGGAUUUGAAGAAAAUAUAAUCUGAUCAAACAUUAUUCAGCUUUAAAUAUUGUUCAGCUUUAAAGUUACUGUGCAACUGUGUAAUAAAAAUAUGUGCUCACGACUUUGGCC